UGAGCAAUCUGCCCUUCUCAUCGGAAUAAGCGUUGGAAACGACGUCUAGUGCCGAAUACGACCUCCUUUCGCAUGAUCGGAGGUGGAAAGCUCCGGCGGAGAAGGAUGAGCUCGCGGCCUAUCAGCUAGUUGGUGUGGGUAAUGGCCCACCAAGGCGACGACGGGUAGCCGGCCUGAGAGGGUGACCGGCCACACUGGGACUGAGACACGGCCCAGACUCCUACGGGAGCAG
rnacentral:rRNA from 1 species